rnacentral:rRNA from 1 species
GAGUUUGAUCCUGGCUCAGGACGAACGCUGGCGGCGCGCCUAACACAUGCAAGUCGAACGAGCGAGAGAGAGCUUGCUUUCUCGAGCGAGUGGCGAACGGGUGAGUAACGCGUGAGGAACCUGCCUCAAAGAGGGGGACAACAGUUGGAAACGACUGCUAAUACCGCAUAAGCCCACGGCUCGGCAUCGAGCAGAGGGAAAAGGAGCAAUCCGCUUUGAGAUGGCCUCGCGUCCGAUUAGCUAGUUGGUGAGGUAACGGCCCACCAAGGCGACGAUCGGUAGCCGGACUGAGAGGUUGAACGGCCACAUUGGGACUGAGACACGGCCCAGACUCCUACGGGAGGCAGCAGUGGGGAAUAUUGCACAAUGGGGGAAACCCUGAUGCAGCGACGCCGCGUGGAGGAAGAAGGUCUUCGGAUUGUAAACUCCUGUUGUUGAGGAAGAUAAUGACGGUACUCAACAAGGAAGUGACGGCUAACUACGUGCCAGCCGCCGCGGUAAUUC